AAAGAAAAUAUGAAUAUUAUUUUCAGUCAGAUAGCCAAGACAUGGGUAAGACCUUAUCCUAUCCUGACUUGGCAGCAAAGGUGUAGCCACUUUACUCUCUCCUUGUUUUCAUCAUCCUGUUGCUGAGUUCUCUGCUACAGAAGCAAAUGUUUUCCAGUUACAGCACCUGGCAUCCUUCAUAGUUUUGUUUUUUUUCAAUCAGAAUGAAAACAAACAAUGACAUGAAAUGUUUUUUAUUGCAGAUGCAUAUUUUAGCUUCUCCUUAUACUGUGUUUAUGUUAAUCAUUAACUUGUGUGCAGUUUAUAAUUGUGUUGUGUUGUGUUGUAACAUCUCUCACUUUUGUUUUUAUUUUUCAUCCAGUAGCUACUUCAAAAAUGUUCUGUAUGAUUGACAGUGUGUGGAACGACCUCCAAAUAGAAGUAUUACUUUUAUAAAACUAGAUUUAAUUCAAUACAAUUUGUCACACCUGAUUCAAUUUCCUUUAGUUCACUAGUACUUGUAAACCCAUUGUAAUAUUAAUGACAUUAUCUGUCUUCUUGCAUUCACUGACAAUGUGAGCGCCUGUAUCCCAGACCUAUACAUUGUGGACCUGUUUGGAUGGUACCCAUGCAAGGCAAAUUAUAUUUCUGUUUGGGAGGGGGUGUACGUGUUUCAAAAAAGAUUCAUUCUAAGGGUUCUGUGAAAUUGUUGUGUCUGUGAAAAAUGCAAAGUGUACUUCUGUUAAUUUGGCAAAGAAGUGAAAUUAAAUCAUGUCCAUAAAAUUA